AACAAACGCUGGCGGCGUGCCUAAUACAUGCAAGUCGAACGGGGUAGCAAUACCUAGUGGCGCACGGGUGAGUAACGCGUGGAUAAUCUGCCUUAGAGUGGGGGAUAACUAGUCGAAAGAUUAGCUAAUACCGCAUAAGACCACAAGAACUGCGGUUCAAGGGGUCAAAGGUUUUUCGCUCUAAGAUGAGUCCGCGUAAGAUUAGCUAGUUGGUGAGGUAAUGGCUCACCAAGGCGACGAUCUUUAACUGGUCUGAGAGGAUGAUCAGUCACACUGGAACUGAGACACGGUCCAGACUCCUACGGGAGGCAGCAGUAGGGAAUAUUGCACAAUGGAGGAAACUAUGAUGCAGCGACGCCGCGUGAGUGAUGAAGGCCUUCGGGUCGUAAAGCUCUGUCGCAGGGGAAUAACACAAUGAAUGUACCCUGUAAGAAAGGAUCGGCUAACUUCGUGCCAGCAGCCGCGGUAACAC
rnacentral:rRNA from 1 species